ensembl:lncRNA
GCAUUAAUAUUGCCCUUGGAGUUAAUUAAGAAAAUUCUCUGAAUUAUUACACACCUUUUUCAGCAAUAUCCUUCAAAUCAGAGAUGGUUUCUUGUUUAUUUUUCUUUUUAAGAAUACUCUCUGGAGCAUAGGAAUACAGCAAAUAGUUUUUCCUCCACUAUUGUACAUUGGCUUUCACUUUUUUCACUACGAUAUGCAGAUAUGAAAUGCAGCUAAUGCUUGCUCUGAAAGGGACGGCUCAAUAAUAUCUGAGAAAUUUACUGGCUCCAGAUGUUCUUUGCAACAACAUUAUGUAAGUCUUACAAGGAACAGUUCUAACUAUGAAUAACAAACAUAAUUUAGAUUAAUGUGUCAGCACUAUAUGCACCAACAGGAAUAGCCUUGCACAGAAGAGUUGCUGAUUAUUAUUUGAAUGAAAGCCAAGUCACAG